AAAAAAAAAAAAAAAAAAAAAAAAAAAAAGAGAGAGCAUGACUUACCUUCACUAAUAAAAGAGCCAUCAGUCUACCAGCCACUUCUCUGAAAGCAGGAGGAAUAAACCUGCUUUUAGGGACUGCCCCUUUCCUCAGCUGGUCCUGUCCUGAGAAUGAGGAAGUCAGGGCUUUUGUCACUUGAGGCUUUUUUUGUCACCUAUUAUGAGGCAAUAGAAAAUACCAAACUACACACUUAGGUAUUCAAGUGAGCUUAGGGGCAGGCACAAGAGCCACACACACCGGUGACUCAGGGCUUAGCUAGUUAAUAACAACAUUUCUGAAGUAUAUUAAUAAUAAUACUCAAGCAAUAGUGGAAAUGUGUGAAGUGACAAUAUUAACUCAAAGAGCUAGCAUCCCUGAGGCUUACUCUGUACCAGGCUGGGGGUUUCACAUUCUUAUUUUACUCAUCACAGAAACCCUCUGAGAACAUGCACUCCGUGGUUACCAUCUUAUAGAUGAGGAUCGGGGUGAGAGAAGAUUAAUACAUUCCCCACAGUCUAGAUCAUCAGCAGAACUAACAAAUCUUGGGCAAGGACCCAGGAAGCAGAAGCAGAAGCAACACAGAGCCGGUCUGCCUUUUUGUUUUUUUGCUUUUUUUUUUGUUUGUUUGUUUGUUUGUUUUUGAGACGGGGUCUUGCUCUGUUGCCCACAUUGGAGUGCAAUGAUGCGAUCAUACCUCAAUGUAACCUCUGCCUCCUGACUCAAGGGAUCCUCCCACCUCAGCCUCCUGAGUAGCGGAGACUACAGGUGCACAUCACCAUGCUUGACUAAUUUGUGUAACUUUUGUAGAGACGGGGUUUCAUCAUGUUUCCCAGGCUGAUCUCAAACUCCUGGACUCAAGCAAUCUACCCCCCUUGGCAUCCUAAAGUUCUGGGAUUACAGGUGCUCGAAAUGUGAGUAAAAGCGACUACAACUUCUGUUCAGACUGGACUUCCAAAUGCUGGAAGCACGGUAAACUCGGCACAAGAAGUACUUGUGAAGGAAUGGGCUUCUAAAGAGCCUGCCAUGGACCCUUUCCACAUCUACUAAGAAGUUUUGGCAUUAUAUGCCAUAGGCCCUCUGAGUGUAGCCAGAAACAAACAAACAAAAAGCCAGAAUCAUCGGCACCUGGGGGAUUGUCAGAAAAGCACUCUCAGACCCAACUCCAUCCUACGAAUCAGAAUCUACAGUUCAGCAGGCUCCCAAGGGGACGCCCAAAAACGACAACAUCUGAGAUGCACCGCUAUGCAUUCCUUUUCCUUAACAAUAAAUUAAAAUCAAAUUGAA